UUUUUUAUAAUCAAUAGAUUUUGUGAUAAUGUUUUAAUCUCUCAGUGUCAGAUGAGUCUCAGUGUUGUGUGAUAUUUCAGUGUCUGUAUUGUUUUCUCUCUUUGUUAAAGUCUGAUGUUCACUGGAGUGUAAAAGAGGUUUUUGUACGAGCGUUUCAUUAAAAUGAAGCACUGUGGUACACAUUCGGUGGAGGAACCAAACUGGUGAUCAGAACUGGACCCACAGUGAAGCCCUCAGUGUCUCUGCUGUCACCUGCUGCUCUUCAGAUCUCUGGAGACUCAGCAGCAUUGCUCUGUAUGCUCAACUCUUACUCUCCACAGGGGGCGCUGGUGAGCUGGACACUGGAUGGGUCAGAGGUCACUGACGGGAUUCAGACCAGUGCCGAGAGCGAGCAGGACGGCCGAUACAGCCGUAAAAGUGUCCUGACCCUCAGUAAAGCACUCUGGGAAGAGGCGGAGGUGUUCGUCUGCAGAGUGACACAUGAUGAAACUCUUCACGAGGUCUCCAUGCGUAAGAGUCGCUGUUAGGAGAUCUGAGUGUUGAUGUUUGUCCAGCUGAAGAUCUCUCAUAUAUCUGAUGAUCUGUGUCAGACUCAUGUCAGUCUACUCAUACACAUCUGAUCAUUUACACUUUUAUAACUCUCACAACAUCUCUUGUGUUUGCUGUUACAUUCAAUAAAGAUUUUGAAGACGUUA